CCUACGGGGGGCAGCAGUGAGGAAUAUUGGUCAAUGGGAGGAAUCCUGAACCAGCCAUGCCGCGUGCAGGACGACGGCUCUACGAGUUGUAAACUGCUUUUGUACCGGGGUAAAAUGCCUUACGUGUAGGGUUUUGAAGUACGGUACGAAUAAGGAUCGGCUAACUACGUGCCAGCAACCGCGGUUAAUAGGAGGAUCGGGGCGUUAUCCGGAUUCAUUUGGUUUAAAGGGUGCGUAGGUUGGUUUAUAAGUUAGCGGUGAAAUACCGAUGCUCAACAUCGGGGCUGCCGCUAAUACUGUAGGACUAGAGUUCGGAUGCAGCAGGCGGAAUGUGUAGUGUAGCGGUGAAAUGCAUAGAUAUUACACAGAACACCGAUUGCGAAGGCAGCUUGCUAGGCCGGAUCUGACACUGAUGCACGAAAGCGUGGGGAUCGAACAGGAUUAGAUACCCGAGUAGUC
rnacentral:rRNA from 1 species